UGAAAAUACAUUUUUUUUAUGAUUUUGAUUUUCAGUACACAAUGGUUGACAAUGUGUUGCAUGGUUGUGGCGAUGGCAAUGUCAAUGGUUCCGUUGCAGUUGUUUGCUUGAAGUACAACGCAGAUAAAAUGGAUUGGAUCCGCACGGAUUUCUUAAAGAUAAUGGAGGCUCUUUGCUUUAUCUCUUGCCUAUUCCCAAUCGAGGAAUCUUGAUUAUGAUUAAGUCCAAUAUCCUUUAUUUGUACAAUGGAAAGAAAAUUGAGGAGGUAUCGAAAGAAUUUCCAUUCUCAACUCCUUGGUUCCAAAUCCCGUUCUGUCGCACCGUCAUCUCCAGUGAUGAAAUCUUGGUCGGGUUCUCUCGUAAGCCAUACAUCGCAAAAGGAGUAGAGCAUCCUAUCCUCGCUCAAUCAACAUCAAAACUGGGGCCGUCGACAAUAUCGUUACCCAAUCUUGAGUUAAUGAAUUCCAUUUGUGGGGCUUUUGGACCACAGGGCAAUCGCAAGGUGGCCAUAUUUGGUGGCAAUAUUUCAUAAAUGGCAAACUUGGACCGAACUUCGACCGGACCCUCAUAUUGGAUUGGAAUUCGAAGACAUUUGUAGCUGAUGGUCCCAGUCUAAAGGAUGCUUCUCCCGACAAGUGGGGGCAAACCAUUGCUAACAGAGAUACUUUUCUUUACUACAAAAUUGUCAACCUCGAAACCAGAAUUUAUAAGUUUGAUAUCAAUGGAACGAGACUCCGAUACCAUAUCUUGGAAAGAUACCAGUUACUUGCUACAAUUUGGCAAAUAUUCCUGAGGAUGUGGACGGCUGUAAGUGAACAUUGAAGGUGACCAUUGUGCUCUAGUACAUGAAAUGACAAUUCAUUGUUCACUUGAAUCUUUCUAAAUAAAUAAGCAUUAUAGGAAA